rnacentral:rRNA from 1 species
GUGCCAGCCGCCGCGGUAAGACGAAGGUGGCAAGCGUUGUUCGGAAUUACUGGGCAUAAAGCGCAUGUAGGCGGCGACGUAAGCGGGGGAUGAAAUCCCAUGGCUCACCCAUGGAAGCGUCUUCUGUACUGCGUUGCUUGAGGUCGGUAGGGGAGAGUGGAAUUCCUGGUGUAGCGGUGAAAUGCGUAGAUAUCAGGAGGAACGCCGGUGGCGAAAGCGACUCUCUGGUCCGAUCCUGACGCUGAAGUGCGAAAGCUAGGGGAGCAAACAGGAUUAGAAACCCUCGUAGUCC